rnacentral:rRNA from 1 species
GAUGAACGCUGGCGGCGUGCCUAAUACAUGCAAGUCGAGCGAACGGACGAGAAGCUUGCUUCUCUGAUGUUAGCGGCGGACGGGUGAGUAACACGUGGAUAACCUACCUAUAAGACUGGGAUAACUUCGGGAAACCGGAGCUAAUACCGGAUGAUAUUUUGAACCGCAUGGUUCAAAAGUGAAAGACGGUCUUGCUGUCACUUAUAGAUGGAUCCGCGCUGCAUUAGCUAGUUGUUAAGGUAACGGCUUACCAAGGCAACGAUGCAUAGCCGACCUGAGAGGGUGAUCGGCCACACUGGAACUGAGGCACGGUCCAGACUCCUACGGGAGGCAGCAGUAGGGAAUCUUCCGCAAUGGGCGAAAGCCUGACGGAGCAACGCCGCGUGAGUGAUGAAGGUCUUCGGAUCGUAAAACUCUGUUAUUAGGGAAGAACAUAUGUGUAAGUAACUGUGCACAUCUUGACGGUACCUAAUCAGAAAGCCACGGCUAACUACGUG